rnacentral:rRNA from 1 species
GCAAAGUUGUGUAGUGCGAUCGGUGGAUGCCUUGGCACCAAGAGCCGAUGAAGGACGUUGUGACCUGCGAUAAGCCCUGGGGAGUUGGUGAGCGAGCUGUGAUCCGGGGGUGUCCGAAUGGGGAAACCUGGAAUGCCCGGAGUAGUGUCCGGUGGCCCUGCCCUGAAUGUAUAGGGGUGUGGGUGGUAACGCGGGGAAGUGAAACAUCUUAGUACCCGUAGGAAGAGAAAACAAGUGUGAUUCCGUGAGUAGUGGCGAGCGAAAGCGGAGGAGGCUAAACCGUGUGUGUGUUCAAGCCGGCAGGUGUUGCAUGUGCGGGGUUGUGGGGGCCUUGUGGUUCUGCUGCCGCAGGAUUGGCCAGUGAGAAAUGUUGCGUGAAGGUGAAGCGUCUGGGAAGGCGUACCGGAGUGGGUGAGAGUCCUGUAACUGUAAGCGUGGCACUGGUGUGGGGUUGCCCCGAGUAGCGUGGGACUCGUGGAAUUUCGCGUGAAUCUGGCGGGACCACCCGUCAAGCCUAAAUACUCCUUGGUGACCGAUAGUGGAUGAGUACCGUGAGGGAAGGGUGAAAAGUACCCCGGGAGGGGAGUGAAAGAGUUCCUGAAACCGGUCGCAUGCAAGCCGUCAGAGCCUGUGUGGUGAUGGCGUGCCUUUUGAAGAAUGAGCCUGCGAGUUAGUGAUGCGUGGCGAGGUUAACCCGUGGUGGGGGAGUCGUAGCGAAAGCGAGUCCGAUAAGGGCGUGAGUCGCGUGUUCUAGACCCGAAGCGGUGUGAUCUAUCCAUGGCCAGGAUGAAGCGUCGGUAAGACGUCGUGGAGGUCCGAACCCACUUCAGUUGAAAAUGGAGGGGAUGAGUUGUGGAUAGGGGUGAAAGGCCAAUCAAACACCGUGAUAGCUGGUUCUCCCCGAAAUGCAUUUAGGUGCAGCGUUGCGUGGUUCUUGCUGGAGGUAGAGCACUGGAUGGUCUAGGGGGCUUAUCGGCUUACCGAAAUCAGCCAAACUCCGAAUGCUGGCAAGUGUAGCGUGGCAGUGAGACGGCGGGGGAUAAGCUUCGUCGUCGAGAGGGAAACAGCCCAGAUCAUCAGCUAAGGCCCCUAAGUGGUGACUCAGUGGGAAAGGAUGUGGAGUUGCGUAGACAACCAGGAGGUUGGCUUGGAAGCAGCCAUCCUUGAAAGAGUGCGUAAUAGCUCACUGGUCAAGUGAUUCCGCGCCGAUAAUGUAGCGGGGCUUAAGUUAUCCGCCGAAGCUGUGGCAACCUGUGUGGUUGGGUAGGGGAGCGUCGUGUCAGUGGUGAAGCUGCCGGGUGACUGUGUGGUGGAGUUGAUGCGAGUGAGAAUGCAGGCAUGAGUAGCGUGUGACGGGUGGGAAUCCCGUCCGCCGAUUAUCCAAGGGUUCCAGGGUCAAGUUUGUCUGCCCUGGGUGAGUCGGGUCCUAAGGCGAGGCCGACAGGCGUAGUCGAUGGGUAA